CCUGGCGGCGCUAGCGCGGUGGUCCCACCUGACCCCAUGCCGAACUCAGAAGUGAAACGCCGUAGCGCCGAUGGUAGUGUGGGGUCUCCCCAUGUGAGAGUAGGGAACUGCCAGGC
rnacentral:rRNA from 2 species